rnacentral:misc_RNA from 1 species
UGUGGGAGCUGGCUUGCCUGCGAUGGCGGUGGGUCAGGUUGAUGGGUUUUGCCUGGUCCACCGCCAUCGCAGGCAAGCCAGCUCCCACA